GGGGAAUAGCAGUGUCUAUACCACAGGGAUAAUAUGAAGGCUAAAUGAGAUCCUGUAAAGCAAUCUUUCCAAGUCCUGAGCUUGACACAAUAAUAAAAACUAACCUUUAUUUAAUUAUUGAGGUAGAGGAAGGAGGAUAAAGAACAGGACCAAAGAACAGAAGUUAUUUCCCAGUGAACUUAAACAAUUCAUGAGUUUUCUCAUCUCAAGCAGGAGGGCCUUAACUGCAUUGUCUCAUGCCUUUAACCAGUGAGAGUCAGAGAGAGCUAAGGCACAUCCAACUCCAUUGCUCAACUCCCAGGCGCCCAGCAGCAGGUAUAGAGCGUUGGGAGCUGCACUCUCCAUACUGAUGUUAUAAUUAAUCUUCCACCUCAGUCAACCAAUCAUAGAGUUCCACUUUUGGAAGUGUUCCAACCUGCACCCAGGAGGCUUCUGCAGUCUUUUUUGCUGCCAGAAUGUCCGCCCUGAUUUACACCUGACUUCGGCAACAUCUGAGCAUUCAUAUCUGUGCUACAUGCUGGCUGUAGCCAUGGGUCUCAUUCUGAAACAUCCUUGCCUUCAAAUACAGGCAUGAGGCAGCAGUGGAGGAAGGAGAGGUAAGAAACUAUUCAUCGGCCGAGGCUCUGUGCUGCUGCCUCAUGGGCAUGCUGACGGCAAGAGUUAUGAGGUGUAAACCUGGGUUCACAUCUUGUUUUCUUCUCCAGGUGAGGGUACUUCAUAGAGCUCAGAAGAAACUCAAGGACCAGCUCUCUCGGGCUGCCCCUGUAAUAUGGCCCACUGAGGGCAGGUUCCUGGCUGCCCUUGGAACAGUGCUGCGGUCAUCAGAUGGUGUGAAAGACAAAUGCCUUUGUGCCCUCAAAGGCAACCAGUAUAUAUGGGAGGUGCUGUCCCCCCUUCUGCCACUCAUCAGCUCAUGGUAAACAGAGGCCACUUAGGCACCACUCAAGGCAUUGACCAGUCUGAGUCCUAAUUAUAGGGUCCUACUUACAGCCAUUAUGAACCUCAAAGCCAAACAACGAUGAAUUUUGUCAAAGGACUCCUCCUGGCUUUAGUUGAACAGAAUCAUCAGACUAGGAAGCCAUUAGUGACCUUCAUGAGUUUCCAGAUCUUCAUUCUCAUGGCUCUUAUCAGAGAUUUGGUCUGAGGUGAUAGUGUUAUAGGGCCCUGAUGCAAAAAGCCCAGUGCAGAUUGGCUCACCUGCUGCUGCAUCUUGAUUGUCCAUGGGUGGGGUCUACUCCUGAGGUCUUGGGAUUGAAAAAGUUCACACGGACUGUAAAUCCUGCCAUUGCUACCGAUGACACUUGUACUUGUUGCGGUGUGUCCAUUGUAGUGGGAAGAGCUCUGCUCUUAGAGUGUUAUACAGCCUAUAGGGUUUGGAUUCUUCACAUUUGGUUGGUUGACUUUGAGUCUCAGCACUUUCAAUUGUAAGGUGGGGACAGUACAAACUUACAGAAGUUAUUGUGAAUACACAACCAUCCAAGUAAUUACACCUGCAGAGCUGACUAGUUUACUUUCUUGCUUGCUGUCUGGUAAAACUCUUGCCAAUCAUAGACAAACGAUCAAUGCAUAAGGUAACCUCAUUUGAGAGUUCAAGUUCUGAACAGAAGAAAAGGAUCUCAUUCCUGUUAUGAACAGCUUAGUUAUAAAGUCAAAUGUAAAAUCAAAUAUGUGUUUCUGUGGCAAAUGGUUAAAUUCUUACCUUUUACAAAACAUUCAAUAGUCACAAGGUCUUUACACACUCACUGCUUAUCCAUCAUAUUUAUAUAUGGUGUGCCUUGUUUCUGAGCGAGGACUGUAGCAUGGCCAGAAGGCUGUUCUGAUGUAGAGAGGGAUUUUCCGCUCACGGUAGGACCCAGUACCAUGAGACUGAGGACUGAAACACAAGGUUAACACAGAUCUCCCGAACAGUCCGCUUUAGGGCUGGAGCCUGCUGGGAUCAGUCCUCUUGAGAAGAACAACAAUCUGGUUGAGAUUGAACUUGCCAAAGACAAUGAGACUAAACAAGAGACGCCUGCUGGUAAACAUCAGGGCUGUUGUGUGGAAGCUGAGGGAGGAAGAAGACACAAAAGCUGUGCAUGAUGAUAAGGCUAGUGGGUCUAGUGUUACCAGCACCGCAGAUGUACAGCUCCUCCUAGAGGCAGGGCACAUUCAGAAUAAGCAACAGGGAGCUGCAUGUCAUGUAGUCAAGCAACUGUAUAUUUCUUCUUCAUUCAUUUCUGGGACAUACAUAUGAAAUAUCUUCAGCUUCAUAUCUGAGAUGGCAGGAACAUGACAACAUAUUAGCUUUUAGGUAGACACCCGUAGGUCUUAGGAUGUGGUGGAAAAUUGGGUGUCAUUUUUUCCAGAUAAUCACUGGCAUUUUUAUAAAACAUGAAGCCCUUCCUAAAGUCUGUGCUUCCCAGAUAAUAGUGAGGAGAAAUAGGCUUGUGGAGACCAUAAGGGUUUAUUUUGGAGUGGAUCUUGUAAAUUUGACAGUUUAAUAGUCACGUGGACGCACAGUGUUGUUUGCAGGAGGGGCCAUGAACCCCUGCCCUGAAUGAAAGGGAAAUACUUACGUCCAUGGUAACCAGGGCCAGUGGCAGCCAGGAAGCCAAGACCUGGCCUCCGCUGCCACUGCUCAUACAAACCAACUAAACAUGUGUACGUCACGUAUGGGAUAUAGGAGAAGCACAUCUGAAGGGCUAUGGCAGAAGUGGAAAGAAGGCAAAACUCUUCCACACAGGCAACCCGUGCUUUCCAGACAAAUCUCACAACAUCAAACUGCAAGUAUUCAUGCCACCCCCUACCCCUGCCAACUAGAACUGGCUGUCUGUGUCAGGUCGUCAUCUUAUCUUAGAACACAUCCAUUGAUACAUACACUGUUUCUUCUUCCCUAUUACCUCUGAUACUGCUUCUCUAAAAUAAAAGCUGACCGACUGGUUGGAAUAAUAAUACAUAUACCACCUGGCAUUUUACAGUUUUACAUCAUCUCAGGUGAUACAACCAGGCUAUGAUGCAGUCAUGUCACCAUACUCUUUACCAGAUGAGAUGCAAACUCAGAAAUAUUAGGAAAUGUAGCUGUGAUGGAUUGGGCUAUAAUCAACUUGUGAUGUGGGAGUUUCUCAGAAUCUCUUUCCCUAUAUACAUAUGGUUCCGAGCUAGAGCUGGCCACAGUGAAGCCAUGAGACCUGGGAGGUGAAUGAAGGAGGGGCCAUUAUGCUCUGGAGGUUUUCAUCGUGUAACUGAACACAGGUCCAGAUGCUCACCGCCUGCAGAAUCCAGUUAACAAGAAUGAGUUUUGGUAGAAAGAAAGUGACUUUAUUCACUAAAACUAAUAAAGAACAAGUGGCCGGGUUCCCAUCCAAAGCAACCACUUCAAUUUGGCAGAGAAGAAGACAGGGGUUUAAAAAAGGAACACUUGAUGUGAAAAGCUUGCAAGAAUUGUGCUGAGUACAACGUCUGUGUACCUUGUUCUGGUGGCUAUCUUGGGUCCCAGUUUACCUGGAUCUCGGGCUGGUGUCAUCUCAACAAUGGUGAGGCUGUUGACUCGCCACUUUGAAGUCAUCUCUGGAACUUUGCAGAUGGGUCUCCAGACUUGGUUCAUCUGUCUCAAGAUUACCCCCAAGAGCUUCUAAAAAGGGACAUAAUUAGAUGCUAGCAUACAGGUAGAUGAAUGUGAAGGGAGUAUAGAUGGUGAGAAAGGGAGGGAUGUGGAGUUCAUUUUAAGACAAAGAGGGAAAGGCUUCUGCAAUUUGCUUCAAGGUUAUAUCUUGAAACGCACGAGAAAUAAGUAAAAAGUUUAAAAUGCAUUUUGCAGUUAAACUGCCCAGUUACAAUUGGUCAGAAGUGGUGAGAGACACAGUGGAGCUGACACAGGGUGCAAGUUUGUCUUCACUCUUCCUUACCCCUGUCUUUAUUUCCCGAUUUCCAGCCCUGCUGACUUGCAGUGAGUCCAGGGCCACCAUGUGAUGCUGCACCCCACUCGACAGACCUUUACUUCCAUAGCACCUCACACCAUUCCUGUAAAAGGUUGUUACUGUAUAAUAUUCCAAAUAUUGAGAGUUUCACUCUCAAGUUUGAACUCUGACUGACACAUUACCUGUGGUCUCCAGGUGGGAGGUGAUGUGUUUUUUACACUUUAUAAUUUUUUUUAUUUUUAUCACUCACUAUACUUGACUGUGUUAUGAUUUCUAUAUUCAUCAUUCUUCCUGCAUCAUUUUCUCUCUCUCUCUUUUUUUUUUUUUUUUCUGAGACAGAGUCUCGCUCUGUCGCCCAGGCUGGAGUGCAGUGGUGCGAUCUCAGCUCACUGCAAGCUCCCCCUCAUGGGUUCACGCCAUUCUCCCGCCUCAGCCUCCUGAGUAGCUGGGAAUACAGGUGUCCGCCACCAUGCCCAGCUAAUUUUUUGUAUUUUUAGUAGAGACGGGGUUUCACCAUGUUAGCCAGGAUGGUCUUGAUCUCCUGACCUCGUGAUCCGCCCGCCUCAGCCUCCAAAAGUGCUGGGAUUACAGGCUUGAGCCACCGUGCCCGGCCAUCUAUGUUCAUUUUCAAAGGGGUCUUCCUUAAUGAUAGUGCCCUUGAACCAAAAAUUAAAGAGUUGAUUAAAGUAGUAGAAAAUGGUCAUCUAUACAAGUUUCAUGAUUUAUAAGAACUAUGGAAAUUGCUCCUUAGAAAAUAGCUUUCUAAACAUGAAAAUACACUUGAUUAGAAACAGUACACAUGAGGAACUCUGGUUUCAUGCAAAGUUGAAGGAAAUUCUUGUGAAAUUAAAAAUGCACCCAGAACAGUUGAUGAAGUCUAGUCCAACGAAAGGGUUUUCAACUCUGUUUGAUUUCCAUCUUGUCAAAGAAUCAACUUUUGGUUUUGGUGAAUGAAAUGGUUUGGCUGUUUCCCCACCCAGAUCUCACUUUGAAUUGUAAUAAUCCCCACAGGUCAAGGGCAGGACCAGGUGGAGACAAUUGAAUCCUGGGGCUGGUUUCCCCCAUGCUGUUCUUGUGACAAUGAGUUCUCAGGAGAUCUGAUGGUUUUCUAAGGGGCUCUCCCCUUUGCUCGACUCUCAUUCCCUCUCCUGCUGCUCUGUGAAGGGGCGCCUUCCUCCAUAACUGUAAGUUUCCUGAGUCCCUCCCAGCCAUGUGGAACUGUGAGUCUGUUAAACCCGUUUUCUUUAUAAAUUAACCAGUCUCAGGUAUUUCUUCAUAGCAGCAUGAGAACGGACUAAUCCGGUAAUAUUCUCCACUGUUUUUCUGUUCUCUAUGUUAUUUAGUUCUGCUCUAUUAUUUAUUGUUUCCUUCCCUCUGCUUGCUUUGGGUUUAGCUUGCUCUUCUUUUGCUAGUUUCGUAAGGCAGAGUGUAGUUUGGGGAUUCGAGAUCUUUCUUCUUUCUUAAUAUAAAUGUUUACGGCUAUAAUUUUCCUUCCAAUUACUCUUUUCAUUGCAUUCCCUAAGUUCUGCUAUGUUGUGUGGUAUUUUUGUUUUUACUCAGCUCAAAGUAUUUUUGUGUUUCCCUUGUGGUUUCCUCCUUAAUACUUUGGUAAUUUAUCAGGGUGUUUAAUUUCCAAAUAUUCUUGUGUAUUUUCCAGUUUUCCAUCUGUUAUUGAUUUCUAAAUUCAUUCUGUUGUGAUCAGAAAAGACACUUUGUGUGAGUUGAUUUCAACCUUUUAAAAAUUAUGAAGACUUGUUUUGUGACCUCACAUACAGUCUAUUUUAGAGAAUGUUUCAGGUGCAUUGGGGGGACAUGUGUAUUCUGCUGGGCUUGGCGGAGUCUAAUAAUCUGGGAUUUUUUUUUUUUUUUUUUGAGACAGAGUCUUGCUCUGUCGCCCAGGCUGGAGUACAGUGGCACGAUCUUGGCUCACUGCAACCUUCACCUCCUGGGUUCAAGCAAUUCUGCCUUAGCCUCCCAAGUAGCUGGGAUUACCGACGUGUGCCACCAUGCCUGGCUGAUUUUUGUAAUUUUAAUAGAGACAGGGUUUCACUGUGUUGCCCAGUCUGGUCUUGAACUCCUGGCCUCAAGCUAUCCACCUGCCUCAGUCUGUCAAAGUGAUUACAGGCGUGAGCCGCUGUGCCGGCCCAUUGUUCUUUAUUAUUAAGUUUAAUCUUGUUAGUUUUGAUUCAUCAUUAUAGCUGAAGUGUUUUAUUUUCUAGUUUAAGUCAUUUAUAAACUCUGUAUUUAAAAUAUUUUAUUUUGAAAUAAUUAUAGAUUAAUAGGAAGUUGCAAAGAUAGUUUAGAGAGAUCCUGUGUACACUUUUCCUAUUUUGCCCCCAAAGGUUACAUCUUACAAAUUGUAGUGCAAUAUUAUAACCAGAAGUGAGACCCUGUCUCUAAAAAAUAAAAACAAAAACAGACCAGCCCCAGGAAACGGAUGUUGGUACAAUGUGUGUGUAUAGUUCUAUGUCAUUGUAAUUCUACCUGUAGAUUCCUUGAACUACCACUGUAAUAAAGUUACAGAAUUAUUUUCUCACUACCAAGAUCUCUCUGGUGCUAUUCCUAUAUAAUUACACUUAC
rnacentral:lncRNA from 1 species